AUCGCCUCUUGCAUCAACCAAUAUAAGAGGUCCCGCCUGCCCUGUGACUCUAGGAGUUUAACGGCUGCGGUAUUUUGACCGUGCAAAGGUAGCGCAAUCACUUGUCUUUUAAAUAAAGACCUGUAUGAAUGGCAUGACGAGGGCUUAACUGUCUCCCCUCCCCAGUCAAUGAAAUUGAUCUCCCCGUGAAGAAGCGGGGAUUCCACUAUAAGACGAGAAGACCCUGUGGAGCUUUAAACACUAGAAAAGCCCAUGUCAAGCAUUCAACUAACUGAUAAUGAAACAAAAUGGACCCUUACUAAUGUUUUUGGUUGGGGCGACCGCGGGGAAAUAAAAAACCCCCACGUGGAACGAGAAUACUAUUCUUACAACUAAGAGCAACCGCUCUAAUUAACGGAAUAUCCGACCAACAAUGAUCCGGCUAAGCCGAUCAACGGACCGAGUUACCCCAGGGAUAACAGCGCAAUCCCCUUUUAGAGACCUUAUCGCCAAGGGGGUUUACGACCUCGAUGUUGGAUCAGGACAUCCUAAUGGUGUAGCCGCUAUUAAGGGUUCGUUUGUUCAACGAUUAAAGUC
rnacentral:rRNA from 1 species